GUUCACUUAGCAGUGCAGAGACUAACAUUGGAACAAUACAGAGAGAAGUAGCAUGACCCCUAUGCAGUGAUGACAUGCAAAUCAUGAAGCAUUCUCUAUUACA